rnacentral:piRNA from 1 species
UAUUGAAGCAGCUGCAUUGGAAUUC